rnacentral:lncRNA from 1 species
UGCUUGGGCUGCCCUCCCUGCCUGCCGCCGCGGAGACUUCCCCUCAUCCAAAUGGCAUGAGGAGGGCAGUCCUAAUGUCCCAGGUGCCUUUCCUCCCCACCGCAGGGGUAUCCCUGAACGACAGAGGGACUGGCUGCAGGGGAAGUGCCGCUGGCAAGCCAAAGAAACCAGGAACCUUCUUCUCAGCGUUGCCAUGCCAGUACUACCAUUUCCAUGCCAAUACAGCUGUUUCUCUGCUGGUACUGCUGUUGCCAGGCUACGCUGAGGGUGUUGGAAGAAGACAUCAGGUUGCUUUGAAGAUGAGAAGAUGGGACAUGAAACCAGGGUGAUGCUUCUGAAUCCCAACUUGCUGCCUGCCUAGGGACACAGACUAUCUCAGAGGGUUCUGGGCAGUGACAGACUUGUUGCUGCCUCUGGGAGUUGGAGUGAUGAGUGGAGGUCCCCAGGGCUGGGUCCUGGUAGGUCACUGGCCUUGUGAUGCUCACCCGACGUUGCCUGGGGGUCCCCUGGUGUUGCUCUCUGCUCCCCUGGCAUUGCCCUCUGCUCCCCUGAUAUUGCCUAGUUCUGCCCUGGUAAUGCCUGGUGCUCCCACAACAUUGCCCACUGCUCCGCCUGGCACUGCCCAGUGCUCCCCUGGCAUGACAGCCUGACCUGACAGCAGCCUGGUAUGUCCAUGAUGGUAUUUUAGCCACUGAAUUUAUCAAGUUAUCAAAUAAGGAAGCUAGGAUUAUUUGUCAAGCCCUAUUGAAUAUAUAGACAUGAAAUCAUGCUGGGUUAUAGCCCCUUCCUUAAUUUAAUUUCCUGCACCAUCCCGGAGUUUUGUCCUGCUCCUGUAGCCUGUUAUGAUCAACUGAUGGGACUCCUGGCUGCAAGUGUUGGGGACUUUCUGACCUAAAAAUGAUGCUCCCUAGCAAACAUCCUCCUGGGCUAGAUGGUCUGGAGGUCACUUGGGUGUGCUCUCCAUGCAUGGAGCAGCCUGCAGGCUCCCACAGUUUCAUGUGCCAGCUGGAAUGGGAUGUUUAUACCACAGUUAUGCUGCAAAAAUAUUUGCAAAAUGGGUAGCAGGGUGGCAACCCUCAGGUGAAUGAGGCAGGAUGGCCCAAUCAAAGUAUCAGCUUGAGUUGUGGCUCUGAGUACUUCAGUUGUUCUUGAUCCUGAUGCCAGCUCCUAAAGCACUAGAUGACCCCACAAAAUAGAUUUGAUACGUUUUGGCUUUGGGAACAGCUUAUUUUGUGAGGUCCCUUUCUGGGA